rnacentral:pre_miRNA from 1 species
AAAUGGUACCAAAGUUGAAAAUGGUACCAAAGUUGAAAAUGGUACAAAAGUUGAAAAUGGUACCAAAGUUAAAAAUGGCUUUGGUACCAUUUUCAGCUUUGGUACCAUUUUCAACUUUGGUA